AGGCUGUUAGCUCAGUUGGUAGAGCAACUGACUCUUAAUCAGUGGGUCGGGAGUUCGAGUCUCCCACGGCCUA
rnacentral:tRNA from 1 species